AUUGAAACUGAUUCAAUUCUUGAUAAAGCAUCAGCUACAGAAUUUAACUUGCCUGAAAUGUGGACAAUAUUAGUAGAGAAUUGAGCAAUAAGAUCCAGUUGCCUAAUUUGUCUAGGUGAAGCUUUGUCAGGUUUCUGAAGAAAAGCAUAAAUUAAAGGUUUGUGAUCUGUCCUAAUAAUGAGUUGUCGUCCCUCAAGCAAAUAUCUGAAAUAUUUAAUUGCUAAAUAAAUGCUUAAAAGUUCUCUAUCUGAUGCUCCUACAGCGAAAUCAGAAGCAUCACAAGUAAGAAUCAAAGGAACUUGAGGAGCAGGAUGAGAGAGAGUAGUCACACGGAGAAGUUCUUCUUUGCAAUUCUGAAAAGCUGCUUCUGUCUCCAUAGACCAAGGAAUAGUUCUCCUAUCUCUCUUGCGACUGUCCUUCAAAAAGUUUGUUUGAUUCCUUGAUUAGAAACAAGAUAU